GUAGGGAAUAUUGGGCAAUGGUCGGAAGACUGACCCAGCCAUGCCGCGUGCAGGAAGACGGCCCUCUGGGUUGUAAACUGCUUUUAUCUGGGAAGAAAAAGGCCAUGCGUGGCAAAUUGCCGGUACCAGAUGAAUAAGCACCGGCUAACUCCGUGCCAGCAGCCGCGGUAAUACGGAGGGUGCGAGCGUUGUCCGGAUUUAUUGGGUUUAAAGGGUGCGUAGGCGGCUGAUUAAGUCAGCGGUGAAAGACUUCGGCUUAACCGGAGCAGUGCCGUUGAUACUGGUUGGCUUGAGUGUCGGAGGGGUACAUGGAAUUGAUGGUGUAGCGGUGAAAUGCAUAGAUACCAUCAGGAACACCGAUAGCGAAGGCAUUGUACUGGCCAACAACUGACGCUGAUGCACGAAAGUGUGGGGAUCGAACAGGAUUAGAAACCCUGGUAGUCC
rnacentral:rRNA from 1 species